GAUAUCAGGGACCCUGGGGAAACCAGCAGGGAGCAGAAUGAACAGGGCUAAGGGAGCAACCCAGAGUGGCUGGGUCAGGGGGCAAGGCAGAGAGGCAGACUUUUACAGCUCCCUUACCCAGCUCUGUUUCCCUUUAGAGUCUCUAAGGGCCUGUUCAAAGACGAAGAUGGAGGCCAGUGGGGAGAGGCCAAGGGAGACAGAGUCACAGGAAGAUGGAGAUUUCACCGACAUGCUUUCCCCUGCGUCAGAGGCCCUGAGAUACCUCCCUGCAACUCUGGAGCUCUUUGGAUGGCUGUCAAGAAACACCAUUUCAAUCCUUGCCAAGCUCAUGGAGGAAGAGAGCCUGGUCACCUGUGGCUCCUACCCGAGGCGCCUUGUUCACCCUACAAAUUUUCUCACUGGAGGAAAAAGCGUUCUAUCCUUGAAUGGGUUCUGAGUGGCAGCUGAGGUGGAGAGACACAGGCCUGGGAGAAAUGUGGGCGGUGCUGUGCCCCCAGGAGUCUGUCUUUGGGCUCCUGAAGUGACCGGCCGUGGCUGCAUCGAGUCACCCCACCUCUCAGGGCAGUGAGACUCUGGGCUUUGCUGAAGAAGGGGAAGGUGAGAGAGUGUGGAACAGACUUGUGCUGACAGCCGGCCGCUUCCCUGGGUAGACCUGCCCCUGUGGGAUGGGAAGCCCUCUGAGGGCCACCUUGCAGGUUGGUCUCAGAAGCGCUUCAGGGUUAAGUGGAGAAACAGCACCACAAACAGAAGAUGCAGAGCAUCCUCAGGUGGCCCAGGCGCCAGCUGUCUGCAGGUUACACUCCAGGGCGGCAUCUUCC
rnacentral:lncRNA from 1 species